UACGAAGGGGGCUAGCGUUGCUCGGAAUUACUGGGCGUAAAGCGCACGUAGGCGGAUUGUUAAGUCAGGGGUGAAAUCCUGGAGCCCAACUCCAGAACUGCCUUUGAUACUGAAGAUCUUGAGUUCGGGAGAGGUGAGUGGAACUGCGAGUGUAGAGGUGAAAUUCGUAGAUAUUCGCAAGAACACCAGUGGCGAAGGCGGCUCACUGGCCCGAUACUGACGCUGAGGCACGAAAGCGUGGGGAGCAAACAGG
rnacentral:rRNA from 1 species